rnacentral:rRNA from 1 species
GUCCUUUUGUUAUAAAUAUAAGGUCUAACCUGCCCAAUGAUGUAUUAUUAAAUGGCCGCGGUAUUUUGACCGUGCAAAGGUAGCAUAAUCAUUAGUUUUUUAAUUGAAAGCUGGAAUGAAAGGUUGAAUGAGAAAAUGACUGUCUCUUAAAAAUUUUAUUAGAAUUUUAUUUUUAAGUUAAAAAGCUUAAAUAAAAUUUAAAGACGAGAAGACCCUUUAGAGUUUGAUAUAAAUUAUAAUUUUAAAGUUUUAGUAUUUAUUUUAUUAAAUUUAUAAUUUAUAUUUGAUUGGGGUGAUUAAAAAAUUUAAUAAACUUUUUUUUUUAAGAUUCAUUAAUUUAUGUAUAAUUGAUCCAUAGAUUGUGAUUAUAAGAUUAAAUUACCUAAGGGAUAACAGCGUUAUUUUUUUUGAGAGUUCAUAUCGAAAAAAAAGAUUGCGACCUCGAUGUUGGAUUAAAGUUAAAUUAUGGUGUAGAGGCUAUAACUUUAGGUCUGUUCGACCUUUAAAACUUUACA